AAAAACAUAUCUUUCUUCUUCUUCAUCGGCCCUUUCACCGAACCCUAACUUUCCCCAUUUUUUUUCCAAACCCUAAAAUUCGAACACUCUACCAAAAUCUCACUUCGAAAAAUCCAUAAUUUUCAUGCAAAAAUUCAGCCUUUAACGCUAGUUUUUCAUUAUACAGUUUUUGAUUUUGGUGAAGAAAAGUAUACAGUGUAAGAAGCAGUUGAAGGAUUUUUUUACCAUGGAUUCUCAGCCGAACAAUCUCUACGACACGGCGUCUCAGCCGGAUACCGGCAACGACGCAUACACAUUUCUGGAAUUCAACACACAAGGGGAAGAGUUUGAUUAUCCUGAAUUUCAAGAGCUUUCACAGCCAAUUCGAUCUUCUGCGUGGCCAACACCAUCUGAUUCUCUGGUAUCUGAAGUACCUGAUCGGCCUCCAUCGUCGGAAGCAUCGCCGUCGACGAAAUCACGAGGUGGAGGUGGGAAUAGUAAUGUUAGUAGUAGUAGUAAUCAGGCGUCGGUGGUGGAUGCAUUGGCAGCGGGGAUGAGUGGGUUGAAUUUUGAAGAGACAGGGGAUGAUGAGGGUUUUGAGUAUGGAAAAGGGGAUUUUGGGGUUGAGCAUGCUUGUAAGUACUGUGGAGUGGCGAAUCCUGCUUGUGUAGUUAGGUGCAAUGUGCCAUCUUGCCGUAAGUGGUUCUGUAAUUCCAGAGGGAACACUUCGGGCUCGCAUAUUGUUAAUCACCUGGUGCGAGCAAAACACAAGGAGGUGUGUCUUCAUAAAGACAGUCCACUUGGAGAAACAAUUCUAGAGUGCUACAAUUGUGGAUGCCGAAAUGUCUUUCUUCUUGGCUUCAUUUCUGCCAAGACAGAGAGUGUCGUUGUUCUCCUCUGUAGAGAACCUUGUCUAAGUGUUAAUGCAUUAAAGGAUAUGAACUGGGACCUGAGUCAGUGGUGCCCACUCAUUGAUGACAGGUGCUUUUUGCAGUGGCUUGUUAAGGUCCCUUCCGAGCAAGAACAGUUGAGAGCGCGCCAGAUCAGUGCUCAACAAAUCAACAAAGUAGAAGAAUUGUGGAAGACAAAUCCUGAUGCUACCCUGGAAGAUCUUGAGAAGCCUGGUGUGGAUGAUGAGCCUCAGCCUGUUGCCUUGAAGUAUGAAGAUGCCUAUCAGUAUCAAAACAUAUUUGCACCAUUGAUCAAGCUUGAAGCUGACUAUGAUAAGACGAUGAAAGAGUCUCAAAGUAAAGACAAUCUUACUAUUCGAUGGGGAUAUUGGUCUCAACAAGAAGCGCGUUGCAUAUUUUGUGUUCCCGAAGGAAGAUAAUGAGUUGCGUCUUGUACCUGGUGAUGAGCUAAGGCUACGAUAUUCAGGGGAUGCAGCUCAUCCAGCUUGGCAAUCUGUGGGGCACGUGGUAAAAUUAACUGCUCAAGAAGAGGUUGCGCUUGAACUUCGUGCCAGCCAGGGGGUUCCAGUCGAUGUGAACCACGGGUUUAGUGUUGACUUUGUUUGGAAAAGUACGAGCUUUGAUCGGAUGCAGAGUGCAAUGAAAACCUUUGCAGUGGAUGAGACUAGUGUCAGUGGGUAUAUUUACCAUCAUCUGUUAGGUCAUGAAGUUGAGAUGCAGAUGGUCCGGAAUACACUUCCACGUCGUUUUGGUGCUCCUGGUCUUCCGGAGCUUAAUGCAUCUCAGGUUUUUGCUGUAAAAAGUGUUCUUCAGAAGCCCAUCAGUUUAAUUCAAGGUCCACCUGGAACUGGAAAAACUGUCACCUCUGCCGCCAUUGUGUAUCAUAUGGCGAAACAAGGCCAAGGACAGGUUUUGGUCUGUGCCCCCAGUAACGUGGCUGUGGACCAAUUAGCUGAGAAGAUAAGUGCCACCGGUCUGAAGGUGGUCAGGCUCUGUGCCAAGUCAAGGGAAGCUGUCAGUUCUCCUGUCGAGCAUUUAACCCUUCACUAUCAGGUUCGCCAUCUUGACACGUCUGAGAAGAGUGAACUUCAUAAGUUACAGCAACUGAAAGAUGAACAAGGAGAGCUUUCCAGUAGUGAUGAGAAGAAAUAUAAAGCUCUGAAGCGGGCAACAGAGAGGGAAAUAGCUCAGAGUGCUGAUGUCAUUUGUUGCACAUGCGUUGGUGCUGGAGAUCCUAGAUUGGCUAAUUUCAGAUUCCGCCAGGUGCUCAUUGAUGAAUCCACUCAGGCAACUGAGCCUGAAUGUCUCAUUCCUUUGGUUCUUGGUGCAAAGCAGGCUGUUCUUGUCGGUGAUCAUUGCCAGCUUGGACCUGUCAUUAUGUGCAAGAAAGCGGCUCGUGCUGGGCUGGCUCAAUCUCUCUUUGAACGCCUUGUGUUUCUAGGCGUGAAACCAAUUAGGUUACAGGUACAAUACCGUAUGCACCCUGCAUUGUCUGAGUUCCCAUCAAAUAGCUUUUAUGAAGGUACACUUCAAAAUGGUGUAACCGUCAAUGAAAGACUAUCAUCAGGAAUUGAUUUUCCUUGGCCUGUGCCCAACCGUCCCAUGUUCUUCUAUGUUCAGAUGGGACAAGAGGAGAUCAGUGCUAGUGGAACUUCCUAUCUGAAUAGAACUGAAGCUGCAAAUGUGGAGAAGAUUGUGACUACAUUUCUGAAGAGUGGGGUAGUCCCCAGUCAGAUUGGGGUCAUAACACCAUAUGAGGGUCAACGGGCAUAUAUUGUGAAUUAUAUGGCAAGAAAUGGUUCCCUAAGACAACAACUCUACAAGGAAAUCGAGGUUGCAAGUGUAGAUUCAUUUCAAGGGAGGGAGAAGGAUUAUAUUAUUUUGUCGUGUGUCAGGAGUAAUGAACAUCAGGGCAUUGGGUUCCUUAAUGAUCCACGCAGGCUUAAUGUUGCUCUUACCCGUGCUCGUUAUGGUAUUGUUAUCCUGGGAAAUCCUAAAGUCUUGAGCAAACAGCCUCUGUGGAAUGGUUUGUUAACACACUACAAGGAGCACGAGUGCUUGGUAGAAGGUCCUCUCAAUAACUUAAAGCAGAGCAUGGUUCAAUUUCAGAAGCCCAAAAAGAUCUACAAUGAGCGCAGACUCUUCUUUGGUGGUGGACCUGGAGCAGUUCCAGGUGACAGUUUUGGAUCUGCUUUAGGCUCCAGUGCUGACAGGAGAAAUAGUCGUCCUAGGGGUUCUUAUAUGGCACCUGGUGUACCCAAUGGUACUCAGAAACCCGGUGUUCAUCCUAUUGGUUAUCCGAUGCCUCGGGUUCCCUUUCCCCCUUACCACGGAGGCCCUCCACAACCAUAUGCAAUUCCUACUCGUGGUGCUGUCCAUGGGCCUGUUGGAGCUGUUCCUCAUGUUCCACAGCCAGGUAGCCGGGGUUUUGGGGCUGGACGUGGCAACGCCAAUGCCCCAAUUGGUAGUCAUCUCCCUCACCAUCAAGGCUCCCAGCAGCCGGUCGGAAGUAUUGGAUCUAACUUCAACUUUCCUGCAUUAGAUAAUCCAAACAGUCAGCCUUCCAUUGGAGGACCUUUAUCUCAACCUGGAUAUGCUUCUAAUAUGGCUAUCCAGGGACCAGGCCAGUCAUUCCGGGAUGGACAUUCUAUGGGUAGCAUGUCACAGGAUUUUGUGGGAGAUGAUUUCAAGAGCCAGGGGUCUCAUGUUCCAUAUAAUGUUGCUGACUUCUCUACACAGGCUUCUCAAGGCGCAUAUGCUGUUGAUUAUGUAACUCAAGGAGCACAGGCUGGGUUUCCAGGGAACUUUUUAAACCAAAAUUCUCAGUCUGGAUACUCCCGUUUUGGUUCAGGAAAUGAAUUCAUGUCUCAGGACUAUAUGUCUCAUGGUUCGCAAGGUCUAUUUACGCAAGCUGGAUAUAAUGAUCCAUCACAAGAUGAUGGUUCACAGAAUCAUUUUGGCAUGUCCAAUGUUAAUUCACUUCAGUCUCAGAGUUUACUCAAUCCAAUUUACUCUCAGCCAUUUGCGCACUACAAUACACAACCAUUGAACUUGCAAAGUUCCCAGCCUCAACAGCAGCAAGGGCCACAAAGCCAGGGCUUCCAAAAUCAGAAACUCCAUUACAAUAGUUGAAGACCGCAUGGUUGUUAUAUGAUGACUGAUGGGUUAUAGUUUUGCAUCCAGCAAUUUGGUUUGUGCUAUCAACAUGUGACCGUCUUAUCUGACCUUAAGAUGAGGUAAAAAGAGUUUGCCAAUAAUUCAGGUCAGUUGGUGACAUAUUCCUUGCCAAUAAUCUUGAAUGUCGAGUCAGAGGGCUGACAUGGUGGAAGUCUUCUUCUCUGGUCAAGGUAACCAAGCACAGGACAUCCGGUGCUGAGAAAGAACAAAUAACCCAUGUUAUCUUCGUGAAGUUUAGCGUACUGUUUGAAAAGAAGGUAUACUGUUUCUCCUGAGAGAAAGGUUACAUGGCGUGGUAUUGUGUCGGAAGGGUGGGUUAUUCAGGACACGGAGGUUGUUACUUGCGCAUUGUAAGGAGUAUAUCAUUGUUUGAAGCUGCGACCAUAUCUUUUUUGUACAGUGUCCAGGCAAAAUCCAGUUAACCCUUUCAGCUCUUCCUGACAUGUAAUUACACUCUUCAGUUAUUAGUAUUACGGGGAUGAUGAUGAUAGAUGUGUUUGUUAUUGCAGCACUUUUAAGUUAUUGGGUAUAUAAACAUGCAGGUAAUGGUCUUCUAUUUUUAUUGGGUUGCUUGUAAGCCCAGUAUCAUUUUUGUGGAUGUCUUACGAAGCGUUUUGUUUGUCAAUGAUGAAAGAAUUUACGAUUACAAUA